rnacentral:rRNA from 1 species
GCGAAAACUUUACAAUGCUGGCAACAGCGAUAAGGGAACCUCGAGUGCCAGGUUACAAAUCUGGCUGUCGAGAUGCCUAAAAAGCAUUUCAUAGCAAGGGCCGGGCAAGACCAGUGCCAGCCGCCGCGGUAACACCGGCGGCUCGAGUGGUAACCGUUAUUAUUGGGUCUAAAGGGUCUGUAGCCGGCCGGAUAAGUCUCUUGAGAAAUCUGGCAGCUUAACUGUCAGGCUUUCAGGAGAUACUGUCUGGCUCGAGGCCGGGAGAGGUGAGAGGUACUUCAGGGUUAGUGGUUAAAUCUUGUAAUCCUUGAAGGACCACCAGUGGCGAAGGCGUUUUACCAGAACGGACCUGACGGCAAGGGACGAAAGCUAGGGGCACGAACC